UGGCGGCCAUAUUGUAUAGAGGAAACACCCUUGAAAGUUUCCGUGUUAGAGAAACAUCGAAUUUUGUUUGUUAGUCAACACAUCGGAUCUCAACAGCGUACGGACCGACGCUGUAACAGUUGUACAAUAUGCAGGCUAUAAAAUGUGUCGUGGUUGGCGACGGUGCGGUGGGUGAGACGUGCU